rnacentral:lncRNA from 1 species
UCACAACUCUGCCAUCUCCUCGUUUGGAGUUUAUCCCUGUUUCCUGAAGAAUCUGCAACACAGAGAUUUGGGAUUGGGGUGAGAAUUGAGGGCUGCCACCAAGGAGAGAGAGCUCCUGUUCCCCCUGGGCAGAAAACCCAGAGAUUUGGGAUUAUGGGGUGAGAAUUGAGGCUGCCACCAAGGAGAGAGAGCUCCUGUUCCCCCUGGGCAGAAAACCCAAAAAUUUGGGAUUAUUUGGGGUGAGAAUUGAGGCUGCCACCAAGGAAAGAGCUCCUGUUCCCCCUGGGCAGGCACCCCAGGAUUUGGGAUUGGGGGUGAGAAUUGAGGCUGCCACCAAGGAAAGAGCUCCUGUUCCCCCUGGGCAGGCUGGCACCUGCCAGUGGGAAAGGGAUGGGAACCCACCCAAACCCAGCCCCUCGUGGAUUUUCAUCCGUGUCUCCUUCCCCUCGAGUUC